GCCAUGUUCCUUCCUACUAAAUGCUCUUUAAAUAACAUGCGUCUGUCACUGUUUGUAUGUUACAGGGGUCACACCACACACACACACACACACACACACACACACACACACACACACACACGUCACUGAGUUUUCUUUCCUUUUAUGGCCCAAUACAGAGAAACAGAAUUUGAAGCACUCUCAUAUGCAGGUGACUCAUUGGAAAUGCUGCCCUAAUCCACACCUCUCAUUUGAAAUACAAAACAAAGGGCAAAGCCACCGGGUCAGUAGGAUUGGGAAGGCUCCACACUGCCGGCCCAUUCCUGGCUUUACAGUGGCCUGGGGAAGCCAGUGACAGCUGUCACCUGAACCCAGACAGGCAAGAGAGUGGGCUCUCCUGGGCUUCUGUGACUAUGGGAAAGUAUCAUGUUUGCUGUGCUUCGUUCUGUCCCACUCAGGUGUCUAAGGAUGACCGCAGUGAUGUAGAAAGCAGCUCAGAGGAAGAUGAGACCACACACACGAACAACCUCUCUGGCAGCAGUUCCAGCAACGGUGCCAACUGCAUGAACGGCCGCAUGGGAGGCAGCCACUUGGCUGAGGAGCAGGGGACUUGUAAAGCUGCUGGCAACCUACACUUUGGGGCCUCCCCACGUAUACACUCCUGUGACUAGAGGGACCGCCAGGCACUGAGGAGAAUCUGAGAAACAAAUGUUUUUGUGUUUUAAAGAAACUCUGCCAUUUUGUAUUUAAUGCCCUGGUC
rnacentral:lncRNA from 1 species